UCCCAGCAGGGCUAGUCCUCCUCCAGCGCCUGUCCCACCUCCCGCUUUAAACCCCCCAGGGAGUGCAGGCCCUCGGCCCCCACCUCCUCCAGCACCUCCUGGCCCUCGGCCCCCACCACCUCUAGCACCUCCUGGCCCUCGGCCCCCACCACCUCCAGCACCUCCUGGCCCUCGCCCCCCACCACCUCCAAAGAGCGGCGUUCCUCCUCCUCGGCCACCUCCAGCAAUGGCUAUUGGUUCAAAGGUAGCUCGACCUCCACCUCUUGCACCAAAACAUCCAUCGGAUGCUGGAUCGGAGGUUGAUGGUGAUGCUCCUAAAACAAAGCUGAAGC
rnacentral:lncRNA from 1 species